rnacentral:rRNA from 1 species
UACAGAGGGGGCGAGCGUUGUUCGGAAUUACUGGGCGUAAAGGGCGCGUAGGCGGCCCGCUAAGUCGAACGUGAAAUCCCCAGGCUCAACCUGGGAACUGCGUCCGAUACUGGCAGGCUUGAAUCCGGGAGAGGGAUGUGGAAUUCCAGGUGUAGCGGUGAAAUGCGUAGAUAUCUGGAGGAACACCGGUGGCGAAGGCGGCGUUCUGGACUGCAACUGACACUGAACGACGAAAGCCAGGGGAGCAAACGGG